rnacentral:rRNA from 1 species
GACGAACGCUGGCGGCGUGCCUAAUACAUGCAAGUUGAGCGAUGAAGAUUGGUGCUUGCACCAAUUUGAAGAGCAGCGAACGGGUGAGUAACGCGUGGGGAAUCUGCCUUUGAGCGGGGGACAACAUUUGGAAACGAAUGCUAAUACCGCAUAACAACUUUAAACAUAAGUUUUAAGUGUGAAAGAUGCAAUUGCAUCACUCAAAGAUGAUCCCGCGUUGUAUUAGCUAGUUGGUGAGGUAAAGGCUCACCAAGGCGAUGAUACAUAGCCGACCUGAGAGGGUGAUCGGCCACAUUGGGACUGAGACACGGCCCAAACUCCUACGGGAGGCAGCAGGAGGGAAUCUUCGGCAAUGGACGAAAGUCUGACCGAGCAACGCCGCGUGAGUGAAGAAGGUUUUCGGAUCGUAAAACUCUGUUGGUAGAGAAGAACGUUGGUGAGAGUGGAAAGCUCAUCAAGUGACGGUAACUACCCAGAAAGGGACGGCUAACUACGUG